rnacentral:lncRNA from 1 species
CAGAUCAUCUAUCGCCUGAGAGCACAGCGGGAGGGACAAUGAUCGGGAUAAAAACCCAGGCAUUAUUCGAUCCAGUAGCUGUAACCCGCUUUGGGUCCCCUCCCAUUGUGUGGGAGCUCUGUUUUCACUCUGUUAAAUCUUGCAACUUCACACUCUUCUAGUCCGUUUUUGUUCUGGCUUGUUCUGGCUCGAGCUGAGCUUUCAGUCGCCGUCCACCACUGCUGAUCACUGCCCUUGCAGACCCGCUGCUGACUUCCACCCCACCAGAUCCAGCAGCGUGUCUCCUACGCUUCUGAUCCAGGAGGCGCCCAUUGCCGUUCCUAAUGGGGCUAGAGGCUCGCCGUUGUUCCUGCACGGCUAAGUGCCCGGGUUCAUCCUAAUCAAGCUGAACACUAGUUGCUGGGUUCCACAGUUCUCUUCUGUGACCCACGGUUUCUAAUAGAGCUAUAACACUCACCGCAUGGCCCAAGGUUCCAUUCCUUGGAAUCUGUGAGGCCAAGAACCCCAGGUCAGAGAACAAAAGGCUUCCCGCCAUCUUGGGAGCAGCGCCCUUGGGAGCAGCCUGCCACCAUCUUGGGAACUCUAAGAAAAAAGACCUGCAGAAACGGGGUCUCACCCUGUCACCCAGGCUGAAAUACAGUGGUGUGAUCAUAGCUCACUGCAGCCUCAAACUACUGGG